GAGAAUUUUAUUUUUCUUUAUAAUCCUAAUGCCUUUUAUUUAAUUAUAUAUUUUUCCUUGCUAGCUCUUCCAGUACUGUUUUGGAUAAGAGUGGUGAUAGUGGGCACCCUUGUUUUGUUCCUGAUCUUAGAGAAAAAGUUUUCAGCCUUUCACUAUUAAGUAUGUUAGCUGUGGGCUCUUCAAACAUGGGCUCUGUGUUGAGGACUUUCUCAGAGGCCAUGUAACACUGCUGGCCUGGAUGCCCGAAGAAGGCAGCUUGGCUGAGUUGAAAGGAAUGUUCCUCUGCCCAACCUGCAGCUCCAUCAAAGGCUGAAGUUUUAUCCUGUUUCACAGAAUUAGGGGAUCUAUGACAUUUCACUGACCCCAGGACACCAGGGAUAGACCAAGGAAUCAUCAGCAGGAGAUGGAAACCUUGCUGAGAUUUGAAGUGAUUCAUUAGCCACUCAACUGUCUCCAUCUUCACGAAGUCUCUGGAGAAGAUCUAUCCAGAACAAGGAACCAACAUGGCUUUAAUGCACUGAUGUCUGGGAUCAGCUUCACUGUUCUCCCCCUUAUCAUUUUAGACUAUAUUCUGGAGCCCCAGAUAUUUAUUGUACCAAUAUGUGGGAAACAGGUACCUGAUUUGUUCUCCUGAUGGGAAAAGGUACCAGUUUGGAGGUCAACAGGUUUAGUCUACAUGCUGAAAAAAAUCCCUAUUUGGAAUGCAGUUAUUUCCUUUUCCUCAUAUCCAGACUAUUAGAUAUUAAUAUGUGUUCAUAUACUUGCACAGAACAUGCUGUAGGUCUCUGAAGCAAGACAAACCAACUGCUUGUCAGAUGAAUCACCUGUAAGAGUUUCAGCUUCUCUUCCUUUGGUCAGUGCAACCAAAUUAGAUAUCUGCUACAUUCUAGAAAGGAAAUGUCUAUAAAGCCUAGCCCAGAACUUGGUAUAUGACAUUUUCUCAAUAAUGUAGUGUUGAAUUAAAACUCUAGAAAGAGUGACUAUGCUGUUUCAGUUUUGCUAUUAUUAUCAGAGUCCCAAGUUCAUUCAUGAUCUGGAGAGCCUUUGACACUCUAAAUGAUGUGGUUUAUCUUUUCAGCUCACAUUUAUGGGGUACCUCAAGGAUAGACCCCAAAAAGAAAAUCUUGCAGCC